CUGAUCCACCCACAGAAUUCUGCCCAGUUACCUUGGAUCCACCAGCCAGAACAAGCCUCGUGGUACACAACAAGAUUCCACCUAGAAUCCAACCGAUACACCAUUGGAAACAUAUCUAUGGAUGUCAUACAACAGGGCCUGCUGGAAUGAUUCUACAGACCGACGUAUGAGUCCUCGGUGCAGUACCAUGUCAGUGCCAUCCAAAAUGUAGCAUCUGCAUUUGGGAGAUAAUGCUGAAGGACUCUGAGGCCUCAUGUUGUCUUUGGAAAUAACAGACCACUCUUCGGCAAGUGUCCUGUGCCAAGGGCUGGGUGAGUGGAUGUUUACAUUACUGUGUACAUGGGAGCAA